GCUAGACAAAUGUUAGUGUUGUCGUGGGUGUCGUCUUCUAUAGUAUAUUUAUAUAAAGCUAUGAGUAUGGUCUACUCUAUGUCCAGAUAUCUUUAUCUAUUAUCUAGACCUAGGAGCCUGUUUCAUUGAAUAGAUGAGAUAUCUAGAUAAUUUCAGCAGUUAUCAGUAGUCUUAUUCAUCAUAGACUCUUUAGAUGGGCAAUAAAAACAGUAGCAAUAAACAUCAUAAAACUACUAAGACUAAUGGUGCAACCAAUACAGAUUCUUGUCAAAAUGAAGCAUCUGCUUAUAUUUCCAUUAAUGUGAUGUAUGAAUUGCCAGGUGGCACUACUGAAAUGUCCAAUUUGGAUGUAGCUUCGACAAUGAGCGUUGAAGAUUUUGUAAAUGACCUCAGCAUCAAGUAUAAAAUAGAUCCUGAAAAUAUUUUGAUAUUUAGACACAAUGGGAAAACGCCAUUACCAAGCAAGAAUAAUUUGAAACAUUACGGCAUAAAGGACGGGGAUAUUUUACGUGUGAAGCAGGCGAAAAUAACAAAAUGAUCUUUAAUGACUUUUAAGACCAAAAACAUUUUUAAGUUUCCAUUUUUAAAAAAAAUAUGUGUAUCUUUAGCCGUUUGUGACGUAUAUGUCAUUACAUAGGUGGAUAACAAAGUUUUGAAUCUAAAUCUAGAUCAUUUGAAAAUUUUGCAAAAGUAUAAUUUUAAUUACUUAUUUUAUUAUUUUAUACCGUAGUCAUUUUGAGAAUAGGAUUGAGUGAAAAAAAUAAUAAUUGGGUACAUUGAAGUGCCUGUUGACUCUGUGAAUGUUUUUUUUUAAUACAUUAUACCUUUUUGUAAAGUUAUGUAAAAUGUAAUAUGAUCAAUUGUACAUGUCCUUUCAAUUGGAUCCAAAUAUGUAUUAAAAAUGCAUACCAAUAUAGAUUUUUAAUAUACUUUACCUGGACUCUUCAUAGAAUUUAAAAACUGAAACUUUUUUUUUCAAUGAAGAUUGUAGAAUUUUAUAUGCUAGAAAGAUCAACAUAUAUUUCAUGUGGAGGAAUCCAUUAUCUUGUUAGAGUUAGUUUUUAUUUUUUUAUUGCCCAUAUCUUUCUUCAACCUUUUUUUUUCUUUUUUCUUUUUUUUUUGAAAUUUUGUACCAUUCAUGUAAGAGUUCUCUAUAUGUUCCUUUCAGAACCUAGCUUCCACCAAAUGUUGUAUGAUAUCCUAUUGAAGUAAAUUAAUGACAUUGGCCAUAUUUUAUAAUUUGAAAUGAAGUUAAAUGUUCACCUGUCAGAAAACUUAAUCUUGUUGAUGCAAAUUUCUUAAUUGAUCAGCUAAUCUCUUAUACAACAGGCUGUAUUGAUUUUCUGUUUUGUCACACUGAAGGAUUAGUGCAUACCAUUGAUUCAUUUGUUUAUGAAUGAAAAUAUGAAUUUUUAAUAUUUUUUUGGUACUUUUUGGUCACAUUUGUUUGAUAAACUGAAAAAACUCAAUUAAAUGGUUACAGUUUUUUUAAAUUUUUCUUUCUUACCUAGUGUUAUUGAAUUUUUCCUUCUCAGAUUUUAUAUAUAUAGUGCUUUUUUGUGAAGGUACGCACUGGUUUGGCGUACUGGUACCUUUUUAAAUGUGGGGAAAAAUUAUUACUUUUUUUGUAUUUUAAUGUUUAUUAUUAAUUUAUUAGUAGUUAAAAGUUAGGCAAUCCAUCACUAAGUACCGGCACCUAUUCUUUUACAAAACAAGGUUACGAAGACAGUUUGUGUGGAAACACUAACUCAAAAUCGGCCCCGAAGUGGUCCACCCAGGCUGGUAUCAAUAUUUUCAGAAAGAACAUCAGAGUUACAUUAUAUCAAAGACAAAUGAUAGAGAAGAAAGAAGGUUGACAAAUCUUGUGUGGUGCCCCAGCGUACCAAUGGAUAGGUGAAUGUGAAGUUAAAUGCGAACCUGGCCUAAAUGAUGUCUUAUAAUAAAUAAUUGAUCUAAUUGUUUUGUAAAGGGUCAAUCACUGUAAAUACACCUUAGCUUUAAAUUUUUUGACUUUCAUUUUAUUUUUUCUUUCAUUUUAAAUUAGGUAUUGUAAUUAACUCAGCUUGUCUGGUGUAACUAUUUUGUUUUUACUUUACCAGCUUCUAAGAAUUUUGGUCAGGCCUUGUUGGAAAAUUUGUUAUAAUCAUUCAGAGCUAUUUAAAGAUUUCAGUAUCCGGUACUUGAAAAAGGAUAUCAAAAUGAUUUUUGUAAAAUACCAUUUCCAGUAACAGUAUGUUAAUUACUUUAUCUUUUUAACCAUUUUAUCACUUUUGCACAGUAUUGUCAACACUAUCUUACAAAAAUUUACUGGCUAUUGUAAGCUUUGUAUUCAUUUUUUUUUUUGUGCCAAAAUUUAUUUAUUUUUUUGAAUUCUUAACAGCAACUUUAAAUGGUUAAUACAAUGAAAGCAAUUUUUAUUAUAAAUUCAAACUGUUAGUAUUGUUUUGAGGUUUUACAUUGUUGUAUACAAACUUAUUUUAUACUGUCAACAUACAUUCCGACAUACUUAUGACCCUAACUCAUUACCCCAGUUGGGGUACUGGCCAAGCACAAAUCAUUCUUAUCUUUACAGGGUUGGAGAUAUGAAAUAAUUCUUUCAUGUUUACCUUGAUCUUGUUUUGCCCGGUGCUUCUUGUAUUUUUGUCCAGUCUCUUUCACACCUCCUUUUAGGUUUCGCUUAUGUUCCACAAUCAAAAUGUCAUUGUCACUCUAUUUCAAAAUAUAAACUUGAUUGACUCAAACCCAAAACCUCUUUGUAUUUAACAGUGCUUUAACAAGUAAUGGUUAUUUUUACAGUUUUUUUCUUAAAUUUCUGCCAAACCAUAUAAAGUCUGUAUAUCCAUCCAGUACAGUAUAUUUUAAACUACCGGUACCGUCCAGUGACUAUAUAUUAAACAUGAAAAAAAAAUUGUUUAGUCUUGUGACUUAAGUGCCGUUGGCUUUAACAUACCGUAGUAUUUAUUCACCAACUAUAUGUAUUUUGUUCUGAAAAAAAAAAUGAUAUUAAAUGGAAACAGUAUUAUUCUAGCAUGGCUUUUUUUUAUUUUAGUCUGUACCUGGUAUACCAGCAAAAAAGAAAAGACUGUAAAAGUAUCUGGAUUGUCAUUGUUUUAAUUGUAUGAAUUUGUAUAUGUCCAAUAUAAUCACAGGAAACAACUGAUCAUGGUCAAUUUAAUGGUCUAAAAGACACUUUGGUACUGUAUACAAAGAAACAUCCACUACUGGGUAGUCAUGAUAAGAUGCACAACUUAGGUCGGUCAAACGUUUAUCUUUUUCGUCUAACAUUUAUUACAGUACCAGUGCUAUGAAUCUACUGCUGAGGAAAACCUAAACUGACAAGACAAUGGUUAUGGAAUGUGUAGAAAAUUGUUGAUUCAUCUUGCUGAUGAAAGUGGUGUGAAUUAUAUGUAAUUAUACUAUUUAUAACUGGUGAUUUGGUUGUAUUAUUAUAUUAUAUUUACAUUAAAAUGUAUUUUGGCAUAUUAGCAUCAGGAUAACACCCAGUAGAAAUGUUUUUUGCUAAUAAUGCUUUUUAUUCUGUGAUCAGAGCAACCUGCAAUAUUUUUUCUUUUUCAACUCUUUAAUUGGUGUUGACAGUGUAAACUAUUUGUAUACCGGUAUGUGUAUGAAUUGUACAAGACAUGAUGAGCAUAAAAGCAACAUUAAAUUUUGAACCCAUUUAAAAUGGUCAUUGGUGUUGACCAUCUACUAUUAAUGUGUCGUUACUAUUACACAUGGCAUUGUACUGUUUAGUUCUCACAAAAUUUUUUUUUUUUGCUAAAUUCCGACUUAAGUAGUUUGGCUAUACCAUUAAUUUGCAUGUAAAAAUGUUUAUCUGGUGCCUCAUUUAGCAGCCUUCAUUUUUAAAACUAUUGCUACCUAGUCAUGUGACCUGCACUGUCAUUCAAUGUUAAUGGUAGUCCCAGAUUUGAACUCCUGACAUCAUGCAGGAGGAUUGGUCUAGGAUCUAUUUGUAUCCAAAUCUGAAGGAACAUCCAAAAUAUAUAAAACAAAAUAAAACAAAGCUUUCUUGCUUGAUUCAAUAUCCUUCAGUGACAAAUCUUAUGUGUAUGGACAUGUAUUUUGAUGGGAGUUUAUAAGCCCCUUUAUGCACACUACACCAGGGAAUUCUGUAAACCAGGAAGGAAAAUGGCCCACAACCCUAAUUUCACUAUAACAAUAAAGGCUAAAUAUUUUGUCA